UGCCAGACUCCUACGGGAGGCAGCAGUGAGGAAUAUUGGUCAAUGGGCGCGAGCCUGAACCAGCCAAGUCGCGUGAGGGAGGACGGCCCUACGGGUUGUAAACCUCUUUUGCCGGGGAGCAACGGGCGUCACGUGUGGCGUCACUGAGAGUACCCGGAGAAAAAGCAUCGGCUAACUCCGUGCCAGCAGCCGCGGUAAUACGGAGGAUCCAAGCGUUAUCCGGAUUUAUUGGGUUUAAAGGGUGCGUAGGCGGAUUGAUAAGUUAGAGGUGAAAUGUCCGAGCUCAACUCGGGAACUGCCUCUAAUACUGUUGAUCUAGAGAGUAGAUGCGGCAGGCGGAAUGUAUGGUGUAGCGGUGAAAUGCUUAGAGAUCAUACAGAACACCGAUUGCGAAGGCAGCUUACCAAUCUAUAUCUGACGUUGAGGCACGAAAGCGUGGGGAGCAAACAGGAUUAGAUACCCUAGUA
rnacentral:rRNA from 1 species